rnacentral:rRNA from 1 species
AACGAACGCUGGCGGCAGGCUUAACACAUGCAAGUCGAACGCAUCCUUCGGGGUGAGUGGCAGACGGGUGAGUAACGCGUGGGAACGUGCCCUUCAGUUCGGGAUAACCCAGGGAAACUUGGGCUAAUACCGGAUACGUGCGAGAGCAGAAAGAUUUAUCGCUGAAGGAUCGGCCCGGGUCUGAUUAGCUAGUUGGUGGGGUAAUGGCCCACCAAGGCGACGAUCAGUAGCUGGUCUGAGAGGCUGAGCAGCCACAUUGGGACUGAGACACGGCCCAAACUCCUGCGGAAGGCAGCAGUGGGGAAUAUUGGACAAUGGGCGCAAGCCUGAUCCAGCCAUGCCGCGUGAGUGAUGAAGGCCUUAGGGUUGUAAAGCUCUUUCGUCCGGGACGAUAAUGACGGUACCGGAAGAAGAAGCCCCGGCUAACUUCGUGCCAGCAGCCGCGGUAA